GUAAAAAGCUGCUAAAGCUUAGGGGAGAGGUUUCCAGCCCUCUUGUUAGGAUUCUACCCUUAAGGUGCUAGCCUUUUGUUAGGAUUAUUGAGUUAUUUAAGGGUAGAAUCCUAACAAAUUGGUAUCAGAGCCCGGAAAUUUGGGGGUGGUGAUGCGCUUGAUGGCUCACAAACAGAUGGAUGUGAGAUUAGAGGGGACGGAAAAGGAAGUUUUGGGCUUGAAAGAGAUGAUGCUUGAACUUAAGAUGGUGGUCGACAGAAUGGCAGAAGACAUGAGAGAAAGCAAUAGCCAUAGACGCAAAGACGAUUCGUGCACAUCUGAUGGUUCCGUAUUGAAACUGAAGUCUGAAUAGAAAGAUGGGUGGUCUGGAGACCGUGAUGGACAAUGGAACAGUAACAGUGGACCAAAGCAAGUAUAAGAAGCUUGAGAUGCCUAUGUUCGUGGGAGAAAACCCAAAGUCUUGGGUGUACAAGACUGUAACAUUUUUUUUUAGAUUAAUGACUUACCAGAAUCCGAUAAGUUUAAGGUAGCAGUUCUGAGUUUUGGCCAAGACAGUUAUGGGGAUACGCUGGAGCAGAGAGUUGGGGGGCUAAUGAAUGGCUAGACAAAUGGAAGGGCAUGCCAGCGAGUGAAGCCACUUGGGAGUCGGGAUACCAAAUGAACCAACAAUUUCCGACGUUUCACCUUGAGGACAAGGUGAAUUUGGAACCCAGGGGUACUGUUAGGCCGCCAAUCAUCCACAAAUGUAAAAGGAGGGGCAGAAAGGUCAUUAACCAGAAUAUAUAUGCUGGGGAAAUGAUUGGGGAAAAAGAUCUUGAUAGGUAAGGCCCACGGGUAGAAGAGAGGAUAAAUAGAAUGACAUGGGGAUUGCUGUAGGUAGGGUUUAUUUUGUGUAAAAAGCUGCUAAAGCUAAGGGGAGAGGUUCUCAGCCCUCCAUAAGGUGCUGGGUAUUCUCUUGUCUUUUUGUUUGGAUAUUUUCUUGCUGAAAUCACCUUAAUGAACCAAUGUUGUAGGUUUCAGUAGUUAUCCCACAAAAUUACUCAAGAUGUGAGGAAGCAAGCUUAACACUAUUUGAUAUCUUUUGAACUUGGCACAUCACAAAAUUACUCAAAAUGUGAGUAAUCAAAUAUAUUUUGUAAAAAGUUAAUGAGAAAAGGAGGUCGAUAAAAUCAUUUUCUACUUCAA